GAAAAUUCUUCCUGGAGAACUUUAAGAACACAAAGAGAUGUGUCUUUUCUGAGAUAAGCUCUAAGCAUGACAGAGGUCUAGAAAUGGAAAGCUGAACCCCACGUCUCAGGUUUUAUUAUUUAUUAUCUGUUUUUUUUAGUAGUUUUUAAAACAUUUUAUUAAGCUAUGGCAAUUCAAAUAUUGUAAUCCUUAUGAAAGAAUAGACCAGGUACUCAAUGGCAUGAGCUCAGUAGAGGUAUUGUCCCUUCUUUUGGUCACUGGUGGUUGUCAGAAGUAAACUUUGCAGUAGCAGCUCUUACCUUCUUUCACAGCCUCUCUGUUUAAUGAUUCAAGCAACUCUCUUCGCUUGAGUAAAGAAAUCAGAUAUGGUUUGUAUUGGGCUAGGAAAAUAGAUUAUUAGCUAACUGAGAGGCCAAUCAUGUUUCUCUACAUCAUCUAGAUCCAACCUUUUAUUUUCCUUCGUCAUUAUAUAACUUUUUUUGUGUGUGUGAUAGAGU
rnacentral:lncRNA from 1 species